rnacentral:rRNA from 1 species
AGGACGAACGCUGGCGGCGUGCUUAACACAUGCAAGUCAAGGGGGCCCAGCAAUGGGCAACCGGCGAACGGGUGCGUAACACGUGAGCAACCUACCGAAAUGUGGGGGAUAGCCGGCCUAACGGCCGAGUAAUGCCGCAUACGCUCUCGAUGAGGCAUUUCAUUGAGAGGAAACCUACGGGACAUUUCGAGGGGCUCGCGGCCUAUCAGCUAGUUGGCGAGGUAACGGCUCACCAAGGCAACGACGGGUAGC